rnacentral:rRNA from 1 species
GACGAACGCUGGCGGCGCGCUUAACACAUGCCAGUCGAACGGAAAGGCCUGCUUUCCCUUGUGGAUUGCGGGUACUCGAGUGGCGAACGGGUGAGUAACACGUGAGUGAUCUGCCCCCAACUUGGGUAUAAGCCUGGGAAACUGGGUCUAAUUCCCGAUAGGACUGCAGGGUGGUGCCUGUGGUGGAAAACGAUUUUCUAGUGGUUGGGGAUGAGCUCGCGGCCUAUCAGCUUGUUGGUGGGGUAAUGGCCUACCAAGGCGGCGACGGGUAGCCGGCCUGGGAGGGUGGACGGCCAUAUUGGGACUGAGAUACGGCCCAGACUCCUACGGGAGGCAGCAGUGGGGAAUAUUGCACAAUGGGCGGAAGCCUGAUGCAGCGACGCCGCGUGGGGGAUGACGGCCUUCGGGUUGUAAACUCCUUUCGACCGCGAGGAAGCCACCUGGUUGGAAGGGUGGUGACGGUAGUGGUAGAAGAAGCACCGGCUAACUACGUG